AGUACCCGGAGGAAGAGAAAGAAAAUUCGAUUCCCUUAGUAGCGGCGAGCGAAACGGGAAGAGCCCAAACCAACAAGCUUGCUUGUUGGGGUUGUAGGACACUCUAUACGGAGUUACAAAGGACGACAUUAGACGAAUCAUCUGGAAAGAUGAAUCAAAGAAGGUAAUAAUCCUGUAGUCGAAAAUGUUGUCUCUCUUGAGUGGAUCCUGAGUACGACGGAGCACGUGAAAUUCCGUCGGAAUCUGGGAGGACCAUCUCCUAAGGCUAAAUACUCUCUAGUGACCGAUAGUGAACCAGUACCGUGAGGGAAAGGUGAAAAGCACCCCGGAAGGGGAGUGAAAUAGAACCUGAAACCGUGUGCUUACAAGUAGUCAGAGCCCGUUAAUGGGUGAUGGCGUGCCUUUUGUAGAAUGAACCGGCGAGUUACGAUUUGAUGCAAGGUUAAGCAGUAAAUGUGGAGCCGUAGCGAAAGCGAGUCUGAAUAGGGCGUUUAGUAUUUGGUCGUAGACCCGAAACCAGGUGAUCUACCCUUGGUCAGGUUGAAGUUCAGGUAACACUGAAUGGAGGACCGAACCGACUUACGUUGAAAAGUGAGCGGAUGAACUGAGGGUAGCGGAGAAAUUCCAAUCGAACCUGGAGAUAGCUGGUUCUCUCCGAAAUAGCUUUAGGGCUAGCCUCAAGUGAUGAUUAUUGGAGGUAGAGCACUGUUUGGACGAGGGGCCCCUCUCGGGUUACCGAAUUCAGACAAACUCCGAAUGCCAAUUAAUUUAACUUGGGAGUCAGAACAUGGGUGAUAAGGUCCGUGUUCGAAAGGGAAACAGCCCAGACCACCAGCUAAGGUCCCAAAAUAUAUGUUAAGUGGAAAAGGAUGUGGCGUUGCCCAGACAACUAGGAUGUUGGCUUAGAAGCAGCCAUCAUUUAAAGAGUGCGUAAUAGCUCACUAGUCGAGUGACACUGCGCCGAAAAUGUACCGGGGCUAAACAUAUUACCGAAGCUGUGGAUUGUCCUUUGGACAAUGGUAGGAGAGCGUUCUAAGGGCGUUGAAGCAUGAUCGUAAGGACAUGUGGAGCGCUUAGAAGUGAGAAUGCCGGUGUGAGUAGCGAAAGACGGGUGAGAAUCCCGUCCACCGAUUGACUAAGGUUUCCAGAGGAAGGCUCGUCCGCUCUGGGUUAGUCGGGUCCUAAGCUGAGGCCGACAGGCGUAGGCGAUGGAUAACAGGUUGAUAUUCCUGUACCACCUAUAAUCGUUUUAAUCGAUGGGGGGACGCAGUAGGAUAGGCGAAGCGUGCGAUUGGAUUGCACGUCUAAGCAGUAAGGCUGAGUAUUAGGCAAAUCCGGUACUCAUUAAGGCUGAGCUGUGAUGGGGAGAAGACAUUGUGUCUUCGAGUCGUUGAUUUCACACUGCCGAGAAAAGCCUCUAGAUAGAAAAUAGGUGCCCGUACCGCAAACCGACACAGGUAGUCAAGAUGAGAAUUCUAAGGUGAGCGAGCGAACUCUCGUUAAGGAACUCGGCAAAAUGACCCCGUAACUUCGGGAGAAGGGGUGCUCUUUAGGGUUAACGCCCAGAAGAGCCGCAGUGAAUAGGCCCAAGCGACUGUUUAUCAAAAACACAGGUCUCUGCUAAACCGUAAGGUGAUGUAUAGGGGCUGACGCCUGCCCGGUGCUGGAAGGUUAAGAGGAGUGGUUAGCUUCUGCGAAGCUACGAAUCGAAGCCCCAGUAAACGGCGGCCGUAACUAUAACGGUCCUAAGGUAGCGAAAUUCCUUGUCGGGUAAGUUCCGACCCGCACGAAAGGCGUAACGAUUUGGGCACUGUCUCAACGAGAGACUCGGUGAAAUCAUAGUACCUGUGAAGAUGCAGGUUACCCGCGACAGGACGGAAAGACCCCGUGGAGCUUUACUGUAGCCUGAUAUUGAAAUUCGGCACAGCUUGUACAGGAUAGGUAGGAGCCUUUGAAACGUGAGCGCUAGCUUACGUGGAGGCGCUGGUGGGAUACUACCCUAGCUGUGUUGGCUUUCUAACCCGCACCACUUAUCGUGGUGGGAGACAGUGUCAGGCGGGCAGUUUGACUGGGGCGGUCGCCUCCUAAAAGGUAACGGAGGCGCUCAAAGGUUCCCUCAGAAUGGUUGGAAAUCAUUCAUAGAGUGUAAAGGCAUAAGGGAGCUUGACUGCGAGACCUACAAGUCGAGCAGGGUCGAAAGACGGACUUAGUGAUCCGGUGGUUCCGCAUGGAAGGGCCAUCGCUCAACGGAUAAAAGCUACCCCGGGGAUAACAGGCUUAUCUCCCCCAAGAGUUCACAUCGACGGGGAGGUUUGGCACCUCGAUGUCGGCUCAUCGCAUCCUGGGGCUGUAGUCGGUCCCAAGGGUUGGGCUGUUCGCCCAUUAAAGCGGUACGCGAGCUGGGUUCAGAACGUCGUGAGACAGUUCGGUCCCUAUCCGUCGUGGGCGUAGGAAAUUUGAGAGGAGCUGUCCUUAGUACGAGAGGACCGGGAUGGACAUACCUCUGGUGUACCAGUUGUCGUGCCAACGGCAUAGCUGGGUAGCUAUGUGUGGACGGGAUAAGU
rnacentral:rRNA from 1 species